rnacentral:lncRNA from 1 species
CUUAUAAAAUGAAAGGGUGCUCAAAAAGUAGCCAACUUUUCUUGCUCAUUUAAAUAAAAUUUCUUUGUCGUCUCGUUAUCGAUGUCGAUACCUGUUGUACGUGCAGCUGACACACCUCAUAAGCAUUGUGGGGGAAGCGCGAAGAGAGAGGAGAGAAGAGAGAGUGUUACGAAGCGCGGAGAGUGUCAACUAAUUACAUUUCGCUGUUUGCCAUUUGAUAUAUUUAUGGCCCGAACCAUUUGACACCCAAUGAAUGCAUUUCGGAAUCGAAAUCGAUAAAACGUGCCGGACCUGCGACACUGGACACCCCGACCACCUGAACUCACCUCAGUUUCCGCCCCCCGAAGUCCGCACGGUUAGUUGCUUAUCCAUUUUGCCAUUUUGGCCUUCUUAUCGCUUUUGCUGCUUCUGCUCGAAGCACGUUUCCCGACUGGCUGACUCUGCCCCACCCAACACCCAUCUGAACGUAGCCCCCAGAACCCAUUUCCAUUCCGUCCGAUCCCACAUCCAACAAAUACCCAACGAGUGAUAUCAACGCGACUCAUGCAAGUGGGACUUGCACAGUAAGACGCCAUCUAUAUCUCGAGACGGGCCAUACACUCUGUAUAUAGAUCAAGAAACUAUUGAAGAACGUUUGAUUCGAUAAGCGCUUAUGGAUACAAGUUAGUUGGCAAUAAUUCAAGCUGUAUAUUGAGUCAUUUAUAGUUCUAGAACUGUCUUUAAUUUCAAUAGAAAUUAUAUUCCACAUAACCUUCCGAAAGCAUCAGGCUU